rnacentral:rRNA from 1 species
AAUCAACGCUGGCGGCGUGCCUCAGACAUGCAAGUCGAACGAUUAAAGCUCUCUUCGGAGAGUGUAUAGAGUGGCGCACGGGUGAGUAACACGUAAGUAAUCUACCUUCGAGUGGGGAAUAACGUCCGGAAACGGACGCUAAUACCGCAUAAUGCAGCGGCAUCGCAAGAUGACAGUUGUUAAAGAUUUAUCGCUUGAAGAGGAGCUUGCGGCGGAUUAGCUAGUUGGUAAGGUAAUGGCUUACCAAGGCUACGAUCUGUAACCGGUCUAAGAGGACGGUCGGUCACACUGACACUGAAUAACGGGUCAGACUCCUACGGGAGGCAGCAGUCGGGAAUUUUGGGCAAUGGGCGAAAGCCUGACCCACGCAACGCCGCGUGAAGGAUGAAGUAUUUCGGUAUGUAAACUUACGAAAG